UUUUUUUUUCUCCUUUUUUGAACUGGAAUGUCUCUAAUUUUUAUCCAAUGCCUGUCCCACCAAUUGUCUAUUGAGAACAGAUCUCAAGACGGAGAGGAAUUGUGCCCAGGAGCUGUACCUGAUAGAUUCUAUUCAGGAGCCUCAGCAGCACCUGAUGUGGACAUUGAACUGAUGCUGUCGUGGGAUGAGGCUUUAGGAACCUUAAGAAGGAGAAGACAAAGCCAGAGACAUUCGCAGCAUGAGAAGGACUCGAUGCCACAUUACAGCAUAGAGGAUCUGAGGAAGGAGAAAGCCACCUGAGAAAGAAUGCAGACAGUCUGUAGAAGCAGAGAAUGGCUCCUGAAUGACAAUCAGCAAGGAAACAGGGACCUCAGUCCUUCAACUGCAAGACACUGAAUUCAGAGAAUGGCUCCUGAAUGACAAUCAGCAAGGAAACAGGGACCUCAGUCCUUCAACUGCAAGACACUGAAUUAUGCCAAUGCAGGAAUGACCUUGGAAAGGGACGCUGAGUCUGGGUGAGAAUGUAGCCAGCCAUCACCUUGAUU
rnacentral:lncRNA from 1 species